rnacentral:rRNA from 1 species
AUCCGGGUUGCGGACAGUGUCUGGUGGGUAGUUUGACUGGGGCGGUCUCCUCCCAAAGAGUAACGGAGGAGCACGAAGGUUAGCUAAUCCUGGUCGGACAUCAGGAGGUUAGUGCAAUGGCAUAAGCUAGCUUGACUGCGAGAGUGACGGCUCGAGCAGGUGCGAAAGCAGGUCAUAGUGAUCCGGUGGUUCUGAAUGGAAGGGCCAUCGCUCAACGGAUAAAAGGUACUCCGGGGAUAACAGGCUGAUACCGCCCAAGAGUUCAUAUCGACGGCGGUGUUUGGCACCUCGAUGUCGGCUCAUCACAUCCUGGGGCUGAAGUAGGUCCCAAGGGUAUGGCUGUUCGCCAUUUAAAGUGGUACGCGAGCUGGGUUUAGAACGUCGUGAGACAGUUCGGUCCCUAUCUGCCGUGGGCGCUGGAGAAUUGAGGGGGGCUGCUCCUAGUACGAGAGGACCGGAGUGGACGCAUCACUGGUGUUCGGGUUGUCAUGCCAAUGGCACUGCCCGGUAGCUAAAUGCGGAAGAGAUAAGUGCUGAAAGCAUCUAAGCACGAAACUUGCCCCGAGAUGAGUUCUCCCUGAGACUUUAAGUCUCCUGAAGGAACGUUGAAGACUACGACGUUGAUAGGUCGGGUGUGUAAGCGCAGCGAUGCGUUGAGCUAACCGAUACUAAUGAACCGUGAGGCUUAACCUUACAACGCCGAAG